AGUCGUACAGUACCCGGUGUAACGUGACUUGUAAAGGUUCCUGAAGGAGGCAACUUCCGGGAAGUCUGUUCUGCCUUUGUGCAAAGGUGGAGAUGGAUUGAUAAUUGAAGAGACGGGAAACGUAUUCAUAAAAAAGAAGGAAAUGAAAAAUGGUAAUGAAAGUGGAGAGUAGAAAAGCUGAUUGCAUAAUGCCUGGAUAUCUUGUAUUCGGGCUGGAAUUUCAGUUGCUGAAGCCAGGAGAAGAGCUCGAGUCUCACGUAGCCAGACCCUAUCGCCGCGUCAAUACUUUCAGGUAUAUGAUGCAGCAGUAAUAGUUAAUAG